GUUGAACGCUGGCGGCAGGCCUAACACAUGCAAGUCGAACGAGUGGCGGACGGGUGAGUAAUGUCUGGGAAACUGCCUGAUGGAGGGGGCUAACUACUGGAAACGGUAGAUAAUACCGCAUACCAUCGGAUGUGCCCAGGUGGCCUUAGCUAGUAGGUGGGGUAACGGCUCACCUAGGCGUCGCUGCCUAGCUGGUCUGAGAGGAUGACCAGCCACACUGGAAAUGAGACACGGUCCAGACUCCUACGGGAGGCAGCAGUGGGGAAUAUUGGACAAUGGGCGCAAGCCUGAUGCAGCCAUGCCGCGUGUAUGAAGAAGGCCUUCGGGUUGUAAAGUACUGUCAGCGGAGAGGCGUUAUCUGCAGAAGAAGCACCGGCUAACUACGUGCCAGCAGCCGCGGUAAUUC
rnacentral:rRNA from 1 species